GGGUGGGAUCCAGCGUUGUCCCUUCAGGAACAGAAGGUCUUGUGUAGUGAGGGUCUCAGCCUCUCCAUAACCAAUGUCAAAGUCGGAUCUGCCCUUGUGGAUCUGGUGAUGACUGCAAGAGGUCCUUCAGCUACAACACAGGAAACUUUGAAAAAUAGAGCUUGGUCAUCUAUAAACCUGUAAUUAUAGCACACACCUGGGGCCACAGACAGAGGAGAUCAUAGAGACAGAGCGAGCCUGUGGUCUCCCCACCAGGAGUGUGGACAGAGGCUCCGCUGACAGAGAAGGAGCUGGGGUGAGACACAGAGAGAGACCAGGCUUCAGGGACCCUAGUGGAGUCCAUGGGGUCAACAUCCCUGAUGUCCUUGUCCAUGUGCUCCCUGCCCUGGGGAUCGUGCUGACCCUGAGCCUCACUCUGAUCCUGGAGAAGCAGUGGAGCAGUGGGGACAGUUGAAGACAGUCCCCAGGGAGGAGGCACAGCAGUUGCAGAAGGGAUGAGAGAGAGCCCCCAGCUCUGCCUCCCUGUGCUUGAGGUCCUGGGGAUGUGCAGACAUUCCCACAGUCACAGGAGUGAUUAUAGCUGGAUGACUGUUCCCUCCAUGUGGGAAUCUCUCAGCCACAGACAGUGUAUCCAUGUUCCUUGCAUCAGACCCCACAUGCUGCUUCAUACAGUCUUUCAUGUCACAGCUGAAGGAUGUCCUGCAGUCGUCACCAGAACCACAAGGGCAGGGCCCGACCUUGACAUUGGUUAUGGAGAGGCUGAGACCCUCACAACACAGGACCUUCUGUUCCUGAAGGGACAACCCUGGCUCCCACCCUCUGUGACCAUGGAGAUCAAGGUUCAAUUCCAGGAAAGGGUCGGACUCAUCACAAAGACUAACACCUCAGUCCAGGUCCAUCCUUCCUAACCUCCCCCUUCAGGGACAUGGGAUCACACCUCACUGGAUCAGUGGAUGGAAUGAUGUCACCUGUACCCCAUCAUGGAUCCCAGACUCCUAGGUGACAUUCUCUGCCUGCACGAAGGUGCUGUCGGUCUGGGGUAGUUUACUGAGCUGUGAAAACACAGCAGUGUGGUGUGGCCGCCAUCACAGGGCCCUGUAGGAGAGUGACAUCACCAUGAAUACAGACACCUCACACACUCACCCUCCUCCUUCCUCCACCU